rnacentral:rRNA from 1 species
AGCAGUAGCCGCGGGAAUACGGAGGGUGCAAGCGUUAAUCGGAAUUACUGGGCGUAAAGCGCACGCAGGCGGUUUGUUAAGUCAGAUGUGAAAUCCCCGAGCUUAACUUGGGAACUGCAUUUGAAACUGGCAAGCUAGAGUCUUGUGGAGGGGGGUAGAAUUCCAGGUGUAGCGGUGAAAUGCGUAGAGAUCUGGAGGAAUACCGGUGGCGAAGGCGGCCCCCUGGACAAAGACUGACGCUCAGGUGCGAAAGCGAGGGGAGCAAACAGGAUUAGAUACCCGGGUAGUCCCUGUCUCUUAUAC